AUCUUCAUGUUUUCAUGGUAUCAGAGCAGGAAAAUCUUCCGAUCCUUCUCUGUUAUGUGUUAUCGAUACUUGAUGAAGCUUUUGCUGAAGUUUUUCUUCAGUUAUCUGAGAAAAAUACUGUUCGUAUAUUUUUUUCGAUGAAUGUUAAUCGGUUAAUCGGGACUUUUCUGACUGUUUGAGGCUCCUAUCCUGUAUCAGUAGAUGUUUUGGGUGAUUUUCCGACAUCUCUGAUUUUGUUCCGACGAGUUCUUCAAAUUCUAGGGUCUUCCGACUUUCAGACCUAGAGUUUUGGUGUUAUCCGAUGAUUUUUUUCUUCGCUUGAUGGACGUUUUGGGUAACUUUCCGGCAUCUAUGACCUUACUCCGGUGAGUUUCAGAACCUAGGGUUUCCGGUGUUGGACCUAGGGUUUUCUCUGUUGAUUGAA
rnacentral:lncRNA from 1 species